UACGAGAGGCCCAAACGUUAUUCGGAUUUACUGGGCUUAAAGAGUUCGUAGGCGGCGCGGAAAGUAGGGUGCGAAAGCCCUCGGCUCAACCGAGGAAUUGCGCUCUAAACUGUCGCGCUCGAGGAACCUAGAGGUGAGCAGAACUGAUGGUGGAGCGGUGAAAUGCGUUGAUAUCAUCAGGAAUACCGGAGGCGAAGGCGGCUCACUGGGGGUUAUCUGACGCUGAGGAACGAAAGCGUGGGGAGCGAACAGG
rnacentral:rRNA from 1 species